rfam:Myotis davidii contig31761, whole genome shotgun sequence.
GCCCUUGUGGCUCAGUGGAUAGAGCAUGGCCCACACACCAAAGGGUAGUGGGUUUGAUUCCCAGUCAAGGGCA